AACGAACGCUGGCGGCAGGCUUAACACAUGCAAGUCGAGCGCCCCGCAAGGGGAGCGGCAGACGGGUGAGUAACGCGUGGGAAUCUACCCAUCUCUACGGAAUAACGCAUGGAAACGUGUGCUAAUACCGUAUACGUCCUUCGGGAGAAAGAUUUAUCGGAGAUGGAUGAGCCCGCAUUGGAUUAGCUAGUUGGUGGGGUAAAGGCCUACCAAGGCGACGAUCCAUAGCUGGUCUGAGAGGAUAAUCAGCCACACUGGGACUGAGACACGGCCCAGACUCCUACGGGAGGCAGCAGUGGGGAAUAUUGGACAAUGGGCGCAAGCCUGAUCCAGCCAUGCCGCGUGAGUGAUGAAGGCCCUAGGGUUGUAAAGCUCUUUCACCGGUGAAGAUAAUGACGGUAACCGGAGAAGAAGCCCCGGCUAACUUCGUGCCAGCCGCCGCCGUAAAAC
rnacentral:rRNA from 1 species